ensembl:lncRNA
GCAGGGUUGAAUGCCAGCAGACAGAGCCUCAAGGAAGCCCUGCUCCGGUCUGCAUUUCCUCCAGGCAACAAUGUGCUCCUGAUAUGAAAGCUGACAUUAGAACUGGUAACAAAGGAGCAGGAGCUGGUGUAAUACACAGGGGUAUCGCCCCUGGAACUCAAGAGUCCAACAGAUGCAAUUACAAAGCAGAAGGUGCAGGAGUCUGCCUACUCUGUGGAAAUGAGGUGACGCCUUCAUCACAGCCAGGAGCCAGGCUGAAAAUUAUUGUCUCUGAGACAGCACAAAACUCAGACUGCAGAAAGUUCUUUUUUUGGACAACUUCAAAGCUGAACUUUGUAUUUGAGAGAUGGAAGCAUGCAACUAAAUGCAUCUGCAUAUACGCUGCCUCACUUUAUCUGGGGAGUAACAAACCGGGUGACAGAAACAAUGCACUGGCUUAAAAAUGAUGAACUUCUUUUUUUCUUUUUCUUAUUAAAACAGGACAAGGAAGUCAUGCUCCUGAAAGUGAAGCAAAGCUGACAGACAAAAACAAAAACAAAAACAUAUCUAACACAUACUGUAAUUCAGAAACCUGGAUUCCUCAUCUGCCCAGCAUUCCACAUUUCUCUGUUGUCAUGUCUUUUGCUACAAUGGGAGACAAAAUACUGUUUUUCUGCUGAAGUCAGUUUUCCUAAUUGUACUUACUGAGUUUGUUGAACAUUAAGCAUGAACAGAGGUGGGAAAUUAUACCA